UAACAGAGUGGUCACUGUACUCGUCUUAUACGCGAGAGACCCGGGUUCGAUUUCCGG
rnacentral:tRNA from 1 species